CAAUUAGGUAAAUACGAUGCUAUCGGCAAGUCAGAAAAUCACAUUUCCAUGGUAAGAAACACAUCAGUCAGAUUCAGACAAUGGUGGAGACAUCGCGGCAGAUCUAAACAACAAAAGACGAAGCAGAAGAAAGGUAAAUCUGAGCAACAAUCCGAAUAAACAACGAAACUAGCAGCUGCAAAGAAAGUUUUGGAAUGGAAGAGAACAAGGAGUCGGCGGCGUCCAAGUAUGACAUGAACGCUAAAUGGGACGAAUGCAUCGAUCUCUCUCUCCGCCGCUUCGUUUACUCCUCCUUAGCCGGCGCUUUCGGUGGCCUCAUUUUCUUCAGGAGUCCAGUGACUAGAUGGGCAUCUGUAGCUUUUGGUGCAGGGGUUGGAAUUGGAUCUACAUACACAGAUUGUUCCAGUAUUUUGGUGGAUAUUCUCCAAAGUUGACUCCUAAGCUUGACUAUGCUCCUGCACCCAAGGAUCAAGAGGAGUGAGUUGAUGUAUUUGAAGUUCCUCUAGUUGACAGGUUUAAAUUCUGAAUUUCAUAAGCGAUACUGUUUAGUCUUUUCGGGUUUCCCUGGGAGUGUCUUCUGCAUUGUAAUACGAAGAUUAUAUGUUGGUGGGUAAACAAUGAACUGAUGCACCAAAAGUUCAUUACGAAUCCACUUAUCUUUUAUUCUGUAAUUCUAUCAUGAGUAUAAACAAUUUGAAGC